CCAGACUGGAACUGAGACACGGUCCAGACUCCUACGGGAGGCAGCAGUGAGGAAUAUUUCACAAUGAGCGAAAGCUUGAUGGAGCAAUGCCGCGUGCAGGAUGAAGGCCCUCGGGUUGUAAACUGCUUUUAUAAGAGAAGAUUAUGACGGUAACUUAUGAAUAAGGGACGGCUAACUACGUGCCAGCAGCCGCGGUCAUACGUAGGUCCCGAGCGUUAUCCGGAGUGACUGGGCGUAAAGAGUUGCGUAGGCGGUCAAGUUAGCGAGCGAUGAAAACUAUCGGCUCAACCGAUAGCUUGUUGUUCGAACUGCUUGACUCGAGAGUAUCAGAGGUCGCUGGAAUUCCUAGUGUAGCAGUGAAAUGCGUAGAUAUUAGGAAGAACACCGAUGGCGUAGGCAGGCGACUGGGAUAUUUCUGACGCUAAGGCACGAAAGCGUGGGUAGCGAACCGGAUUAGAUACCCGGGUAGUCCACGCCGUAAACGAUGGAUGCUAAUUGUUUGAGGUAUCGACCCCUCGAGUAAUAAAGCUAACGCGUUAAGCAUCCCGCCUGUGGAGUACGGCCGCAAGGCUAAAACAUAAAGGAAUUGACGGGGACCCGCACAAGCGGUGGAUUAUGUUCUUUAAUUCGAUGAUAACCGAAGAACCUUACCAGGGCUUGACAUCCAGGGAAGGUCUAUGAAAAUAGACUGUGCCUUUUGGAACCCUGUGACAGGUGAUGCAUGGCCGUCGUCAGCUCGUGUCGUGAGAUGUUUGGUUAAGUCCAUCAACGAGCGCAACCCUUGUCGUCAGUUGUAUUUUUCUGGCGAGACUGCCCCGGUAACGGGGAGGAAGGAGGGGAUGAUGUCAGGUCAGUAUUGGUCUUACGCCCUGGGCUAGAAACGUCCUACAAUGGUCGGUACAAUGGGCAGCCAACCCGUGAGGGGGAGCAAAUCCCAUCAAAGCCGGUCUCAGUUCGGAUUGCAGGCUGAAACUCGCCUGCAUGAAGUCGGAAUCGCUAGUAAUCGCAGAUCAGCACGUUGCGGUGAAUACGUUCCCGGGUCUUGUACACACCGCCCGUCAAACCAUGAAAGUGACCAACACCCGAAGUCCGAUUCGUCGGCCUAAGGUGGGGGGCAUGAUUGGGGUUAAGUCGUAACAAGGUAUCCGUACCGGAAGGUGCGGAUG
rnacentral:rRNA from 1 species